AAGCCGUAACAAGGUUUCCGUAGGUGAACCUGCGGAAGGAUCAUUAACACGUAUCCAAACGUUAAAACUCCCCCCGUGAACCUUCAUCCUGCUCUUGUAACCCGCGUAGUUUGCAAUCUCUGAUAAAUCAUAGCCCGGAAACAAACUGUGGGGUUAUUAGGGGGCAUGGAGACCCUUUGGCAAAGCUCCUGCCCUAGUGUACGGUCUACAGGAAUCGUAGAAGCGCUAUCCUUGCACAAUCAAUGACACUUUCCGACACUGACUGCUUGGGGAAACAUUGCCUAUAGAACUACCGCUCGAUUGUAACUGUUCCAAUGUUCGCACGAGCUCAGUGUAGUACAUUGGGUAAAAAACCGAACAAAUGUUAACAAUGGAUAUCUUGGUUCUC
rnacentral:misc_RNA from 1 species